GAAAUGCGAUAAGUAAUGUGAAUUGCAGAAUUCAGUAAAUCAUCGAAUCUUUGAACGCACCGUGCGCUCCUUGGUAUUCCGAGGAGCAUGCCUGUUUGAGUGUCAUGAAACCCUCAAACCCAUGUUUUGGAUUUCGAUCCAUGCUUGAGUUUGGAUUUGGAUGUUUGCCGGUGAUUAACCGACUCAUCUUAAAAGUAUUAGCUUGGAUCUGUCUAUAUCACUGGUUUGACCUGGCAUAAUAAGUAUUUUGCUGAGGACAUCUUCGGAUGGCCAGGACAUAGACUACUGUCUGCUAACUAAACCAUCACUUUAAGUGCAUCUUUGGAUGUUACUCACUCUGUAACUUUGACAUCUGGCCUCAAAUCAAGUAGGACUACCCGCUGAACUUAA
rnacentral:misc_RNA from 1 species